GACACAGGCAGAGGGAGAAGCAGGCUCCAUGCAGGGAGCCCGAUGUGGGACUCGAUCCCAGGUCCCCGGGAUCAUGCCCUGGACUAAAGAUGGCGCUAAACCCGCUGAGCCACCAGGGCUUCCCCACAGAUCUUCUUAAUUAUUGUUUCUGGUUACUUUGUUUUAUACUCCAUGGUAAUUACUAAUGUUUGUGUAGCUUGAUUUAUGGCUUUUGGGGGGAAAUUUUCAUCUUUGCUAACUAUAUGUCUGCAAAACCCCAAAAUUUCUCUUGCUAGGAUUGUGGAUGAAAGAGUAUCUCUUUGAUGUUAAAACUUUACCUAAAAUGAAGGGUUUCUUACUAAAUAUCAGGUACUGAAAUAACUGACUUUAUUUUUUGGUUGCUCAGAUUCAUCUUUGUUGCAUGAUCAUGUUCAGGCAGUGAGGUAGAAUAUGAAAGAGAUGAAUAUACCAUCUUUAUCUAUAUGCUGUCUCUCAACUUUGAGUAGGACUGUUUAGAUGCAAUCAUUAUAAAUUACUAGGGAUAAGAAUGUGCUUAAUGUUAAAGCAUUGUGUCUAAGAUCCCCCAAACUGCCAGCCUUAUUGAUGUCUAUUAAUAUUAUCAAAAGUGUUUUCUUAUAAUCUCUGAAUAUUUUUAGCAGUUUUAAGCAAUUAUGCCAUGGUUAUUUUUAGACAGUUUUAAACAGGUAUACCAUAGUUGUUUUCCCUUUCUUCUGACUUCUUGCUUUUCAUCUUGCUGAAAAUCAGAAACACUGAUAGCAUACCCAGGGCUGGUGUCAAAUGCAGCACAGAAAAUUCUGGGUAAGGAAUCCAACAUCCUUGUGAUGGGCAUUGUCAAAUGCAGCACAGAAAAUUCUGGGUAAGGAAGAUUUUGUAGUGUGUAUCUCCUAGAUAUUGCUUAUUGUGAAACUGAAGAGGAAACCCAAGUGCAGAAUAUCUCCUUAUUUUCUUAAAGAGUGCUUUCUCCUCCAAUCAUAUAAAACAUUCUAGAUAAAAAAGAUUUUAAAAUAAAGUUAUGAAAGGAAAACACCCCAUUUAUACCUAUAUACAAUGGCUAUACCAUAUGUAUUUGACAGACUUACCAUAUAUACUUGAUAGCCACUUGCAGGUAUUUCCACUUGAAUAUCAGAAUGGGCAGCAUGAGCUUCUGGGGCCAAAGAGCAGCUCUGAAAUUUUACUUUCAUGGAGGUUCUAAUCAGCUGUGUGCAAUAAGCCAUUUCACAAGGAUGUUGGAUUACCUUUUGAUGCAGGUGGAAGGAAGCUUUGACUCUGUUGUUCUUAACCUUUGUUCUUAACCUCCAACAACAAAAUGUGGACUGAGUUUUUUGAAAGCUGAAGAGAAUAUAGUCAUGUUCACAGUGAUUAACCCAUUGCACAGUGUUCCUAGGCAACUUGUAAGGGAAGUGGAAAUCAUGCAGAAGCUGUCCUGGAAAGGCAAAGAGCCCAAGAUGAUAGGCCUCUAGACCAAGGAUACUGGAGUCUGAGAAUUCCCACUCAGUCCUAGGAGGAGGAUGAUGAGGUGAGUUUCUAUUAUCUUCAAGCCCAACCCGCCAAAAGUAUUGAGAGUACCCACCUAUCCUAGAAGGCGCAGUGAAAGCCACAGCUACCAGCCAAGAUCAUUCCCAAAACCUCUGCACACAUUUAAGCAGGAGAAGAUGCCAUCGUGUUCCUGAAGGAAACUGAGCAAGAGCCUGAUGUCAGGCCACACUGAAGUAAAAUGACUUGAAGUCUAUCCUAAUAUAAAUAGGUGCAGUCAGCCUCAUUAAAAAGUUCUUACUAGGAUAAAGGAGUGAGAGGUG